UAAGAUAUUCUUUGUCUUGUCGGUGAGUGAGUUACAGUCGGAUGACCAAGUGAAAUAUAGGGGUGCAACGAGGAUUUGGAGGCUUCUGAGACUUGAACUUAGGGUACUGGUGUAAACUUCCUCGGAGAAGUGCGCAGCAGCUAAUGAUAUUUCGGGAUUGGAGUCUGGGCCCCAGUGAGAUUCGUACUAAGCGGCCUGACUGAAGGCCGCAUGCGUUCUAGUUCCUGAGUCCCCGCGUGGGUAGGUUUUUACAGCAGGGUUUGCAGCCUUUUGUGCUGUUCCGAAGGUACUAGAGUCACCGAAAGAGACAUCCUAUUAUAUGCACGUUCACAAGGACAAUGGCGCCAUUGUUCUUCGCGUCUUCAAAGCAGCUACAAGAAGAAACCAAGAUGGAGGGGAGCCCAAAGCAUCUGAGAGAAUUGAUAAAUGAAAGAAACAUGCUUAAAACAUGACCGUUUUAAAGGGUGUGUAUUGAAGCCUAGAUUUUUUCCCUUGUAAGCAUGCAAACAUACCGUUGUGAAGUAAGAAUCCGGGUUCCUGGAAAUGUAUUGUGAAGUAGUCCUGGCCAAACUACUCUGGCCUUUGCAAUUUGGAGUGACUGUUGUGAAUGCAUGGUGUACAAAUUGAUUGUACAAACAGUUGUGAGACAUACCGGGUCAGAACAGUGAUGAAAUACAUCCCGAAGAUGAUGACCUGAAGAUAAAUGCAGCUUCUGAGAGAAGACCAUUGUGUUUAAGUGGUAGUCUUGUUAAUGCAGUUCUUACUCAUAGCAUGUCAUGGUACCUCUUUCUGUAGUGAAUGCUGACCAGUGAGAUGCCAGCCUGCGUGUGAAGAUCCUACAGCAGAAGUGCAUGGCCAGUGACACAAGAACUUGCGAGAGAUGCCAGUCCGCCUGUGAAGAUCCUGCAGC
rnacentral:lncRNA from 1 species